rnacentral:misc_RNA from 1 species
GUUUAUGCAAAAAAAAUGGAAAAGAUAACAAAACCAUUUCAGAUUAUAAAAAGUCUCUGGAAUUUAUAAUCAGAGAUUUGAGUUGUGAUUUUGUGAAAGUGGUGGAUACCCAUAAGCCCCAGUACCCACCCUACCCAACCUAUCACCUUACGCCAAACAGUACCCAAUCUAGAACAAGCUCAACAAAAAAAUAAGAAUAUAUAUAUUAUAUACAAAAAAAAACCCAAAGAUCUUUUGUUCUUAUCCUUAUUCACCGCCUCACAUAAAUUUUUCUUCAUAAUUUAAGAAAUCCCAAGUUAUUUAUCAUCGAUUUAUGUUGAAAAGUUCAAAUCUUUAUGUAUUACAAGAUCUGGUUUUGGAUUUAACGAUUAUCGAAGAAGGAUUUGAGAUUUGGUGAAGAAGUUUUUUUUU